UGGGAUUGUUCUUCCUAUUGGAUCAUGAUCUGAAUGAUAUUACAUGUGACCGUAAUAUAAAAUAAGUGAUGUUCUGGGGCAUCUGAGGAUAAGUCACUAAAGACUUUGCACCUUUUAGUGGGUUUCUUGGGAUACUUGCUCUUGGAGUCAUGCACCAUCAUAUGAAAAGUCUGAGAACUGGGAAGGCCAUGCUUUAAAGAAGCCUAAGCUAGUCACACGGAGAGAGUACCUGAAGAGAGAGUUACUUGGAUGGCCCCAUCUGUUCCAGCCACCCAUUGAAGGCUACAGGCCAUGAGUGAAGAAGCCAUCUUGAACAUUGCCGCCCCAGAAGAUGGAAUGGAGAGAAGAAUCAAGAAGCCCCUCCAACAUCCUUAAAUGGGGCUCCAGGCAGAUAGCCUCAGUUAAGCUGUCUCAAACCGUUUCAACCCAGCUGAGACCUCAGUUACUAUGGAGCAGAGACAGCCAUUACCACUGUGCUCUGUCCAAAUUCCUGAUCCACAAUAUAAUGAGCAUAAUAAAAUAUCUACUGUUUUAUGUCA